CAGGAAGUUCAUUACAGAAUAACGAUACCAUCUCUAAUCAAGUGACAACUUUGAAACAAAGACUAGAGGAGCUGAAUCAUAGAGAAAAGCUCAUCAAAAUAAAAUAAGCAAUCGGGGCAGUAAGCAUGAGUCCAGAGGAGGGUUCCAUAGAUAAUGUGGUUGAAAGAUGCUGAUGAGGGAGAAGUAAUCUCCUCUAAAAAGGUAGCAUUCCUGGGAUGCUGCUCAAGAAAGCAGAGACCUUUCUGCUGGAGGACAUCACAUCAGUUGUUGGCCACAGGGAGGCUGUGAAGGCUGGCUGAAUGUGUAGAACCACCAGAAGGAGGAGGAAAAUACCCCAGCAAAAGUUUUAACUGCAACUCAUAGCUUAUAUGAGAUGUUUUCUGCAGAACCAUGGCUGCUGCUGCUCCAAUCUCCAGAAACUUGACUUCCUCUCAAAGCAUCCUCCUUUCAUGCCUGACAAACUCCAUGGUCUGCGGGGACGGGACAAAGGGAAACAGCCAUAAACUGGAGGAUAAGAAGUUCUGCACCAAUAUGUGAAGGAAAUUCUCCAUCGUGGGGGUGACAGAGCACUGGAACAGGCUGCCCCAGGAGGUUGUGGAAUCUCCUUCUCCAGAAAUAUUCAAGACUCACCAGGAUGCCUACCUGUGCAGCCUGCUGUAGGGAACCUGCUUUGGAGGGGGGUUGGACUUGAUGAUCUCUAGAGGUCCCUUUCAGCCCCUAUGAUUCUGAGAUUUCUGUAAAUUUUUGUUACUCUAAGCCACCCAUGAUACAUCUCUUUACAUCUUAGCCACAGAUACAAUAAAAUUUGCUUUAAAUGCUGAAGCAAGAAUUACUUCUGAAUAUAUGGCAUUUAAAACACAAGUACACAAAUCCCAUCGCUUUGUGCCAAGUGAUUUUGAUCUGAUUUGGAAAAAAAAAAGUCAUUUUAGAAACAGACUUCAGUUAGUAUUUGUUCUUCAGGAUUCCCAUCUCCCUAAUGCCUCUUGAACUAGACAUGUAAAAUAUUCAUAAAUCAAAGAAAAUAAACACAUCCCUGAAGGAAUUUUACUACACAAAUGUUAAGUUUGUAGAAGGCAGAUCAGUUCUUGUCAAGAUGUCAGUGAUCUCUGUUUCCAUUAAAUAUAAGGUAGCUGAAAAUAAGUCAGGGAAGAUUUAAAAUUUGAGCAGCAUUAUUCACCAUACAGAUGUCUAUUUUAUCCAUUUAGAUACGCUAUGAGCCAUAGUAAAAGAGAUUUCUUUACCUUUAAGAACAGAAGAAUGAAUACAUGCAAAGUUAGAUGUUGAACACAACUACCAACAUAGUGCAGGUGCAUGCAGCGGGUAAUGUUGCCAAGAACUUGAGAACUUUAGCAUUUGGUUUUACAACACUGAGGGCCUGACCCUUGCAAACUGAUCGGCCAGCCCUCAGCCCCUCCUUUAGCAAAGAUGGGGCCCCUUCGGCUCCUGGACAGAAGAAUGGUCUGUGACAGCCGCUUUUCAUUAGUGCGCUUUGUGUACUUCAUCGUUCUUCACAGAGCUCUUACAAAAAAAGACAGCAGAAAUGAACUAAGUGGAAAGUUUUCUCUCUUCAUUUUAUGCAAGCCAUCUUGCUAGCUAGCUGUGAUGGGAAAAUAAAGACAGGCUCAUUUUCUCCCAUCUUCCCCCCUUUAGUCUUCUUUUGCUCUCUCCAAAUGAGUCAACAUGCCAUUCUUGUGCAUUUUUAAUGAUUCAGGAGGACAACCACCUUGGAUAGAGAGUAGAACUAUGUCCUGUUCUGAUGUUCAUGAGUGGAUAGACUGCCCAUAAAAAUCACUAAUGUUAAUUUGCCAGCUGUGUGGUUUCCUUUACCUUCCUCUCAAUAAUUUUUCAGGAGAAACAAAGCGUUGGAGGUCUCUGCCUGACGAGGAUUUCAGGAGCAUAAGCGUUUCAAAUGAGCAAUAGUAUUGCAGCUAUGUGUUUCCCAUGAGAUCAGAUAUUUAAUCUUGCAGUCCUCUAAGCAACCAAUAGGAGACUCUUUCAUCUCACAUCACGAAAAUGAGCGUAUGACCAAGCAAAAUGUAAUGGAUGUUUACAUACGCAUGUACACAAAAUACUGCAGCACUCUCUUAACUCCCAAGGGUGCCACAGAGGAAGCAGCAACUGGCAACAUUUAAGUGGUUCCUUUGCUUAUUUUAACAUUUACAUACCAGAGUCUCAAUGCAGGGCUGAAUCACAUUAGCAUAAAUGCAUCUAUAUGGAGAUCAAAAAACACACACAAAGAUGUUUAGAAGACUGCAAACACUGAAAGAAAAGUUUUAAUUGAAUAAAAGCACAUUUUUCCAUUAGUUUCAAGAAAUAUAAACAAACUGCAGACUUAUAGAUAUCUUAUUCCAUUUUAGGAAAUGUAAGACCAUGCACUCUCACUUGUGCUAAAGGGAAUAACAGAUGAUCCUAAGACACUCGCUGGCACAGAAUUACUCACAACAUUGAAACAGCCUUUAAGUAGAUUAAUAUGUUUUGUGCCAUUAACUUCUACUAUUCCAAUUCUCUGUGUAUUGAAGCAUCGUUACAAUAUCCAUAGCAAGAUUACCGAGUAUAAAAAAGAAAGCUAGAGGACAAUAAAAAGGUAAUCAGCCAAGGCAGCGUUUUUAAUGCCCUUGCAUGUUUAUGCAUCAUUUGUUUUUGAAAUUAGAUUUCACACUACCAACCACCCACCUAGUUUCCUACUGCAAUUAUAUUUUAUUGCUCUUUAAAAGAACAGGGCCAUAAUUAUUAGCCACUAGUAAAUUUCUGCAUCCAUGCCGGAGUCACUGGCAGCGUAGGAGGGCAUUCUUCCCCUACCUAAGGCAACAAACUACUGCAUUUCAUCUGAUUUUAAACCUCAUAUCUACGUUUUCUUUUAUCUCCUUUACCUAGACGUUAAUUUUGGCCCAGUGCUAGAUACAUAUGAUAGCACAGAGGAAACACAGAUCCUGAAAUGCAGAGAGACAGACAUAAGAGAGCUCCUCGGAUGACAGAUGUGUUUACUUUAUCAAACACAGCAGUGCAAGCUGGUUGGAUUUUUUUUUAGAGCUGCAGACGUGAAAGCAAUGGGGCAGAAGACUGGGAAGUAAUAUAGUUCUCCAGCAGCUCUUUGGAUGACUGCUGUCAGUGGUUAUGCAUGACUUGGGGUCCUCUGUCACAGAGGAAGCACCUUCAGGCAGAAGAUAUCAGGCUGGAGGUCAUAGCCAUUUCAGAAAAAAAGUUUCUUCAAAAUCUGAUCAACUUUCAUGUCUGCAUUCAACUGCCAACAUCAAAAGAGAACAGUUGUAUUACUUUUGCACAUUCAGUAUUUGGGACACUGCAACCCAAUAUUUUCAGCCUCCACAGCUCACCUCUGCUGAAGGAGAACUGCAAGUGCCAAGGUGACCUACAAAGCUACACAUCCUGCUCUACCUCACCAUGUCUGUGCCCCUUAACAACUUCCAUCCUGGUUGCUGGACCAGGAACAGAUAAUAGUAGAGGCAUGAAUCAAAUGAAAAACUAAGAGAAAGGAAUCAAGGCUUUAAAAACUAAGAUAGAGAAAAGAACUUGUUGAUAUAUUUUUAUAAGCCAAUGUGAUUAACUUUUCAAAGAAACUUUAAUGAAAGACAAAAGUCUUGAAACUGCUUAAGAUUCCAAAUCAGUAACAAACUCAUGUUUGCACAUGCCUCUGUAUGAAUGCUAUCCACAUUUACUCAUAAACGCUUUCACAAAGACAUUUAAAUAUGAUUUAAUUGUUCCUUUUCUUCUUCCUCUUUUUUUUUUUUUAAACUACUAAAGACAUCUCCUUCUUUAAUUGCAUGCCAAAGGCCUGAGAGAGCUUAGUGUUACUUGAAAAGACUGCCCAAAUAAGUGAACCAAUUAGAUUAAUUGGCACCAGAGAUUACUGUAUGUUUUUGGACCGUACACAGAUGGAAAAGGCUCUCAAUGUUCCAUAGCUAUCAACUUGUUAGUAAAGCUUUGUUUUCUUUGAGAAUUGUGUCUAUGUAUCGUGCUGCUAUUGAUUUUCACAGAAGAAGAAUGUGAUGCACACAUCCUCCCACAAUGUGUCCAAAAAUAGGUUCCAUAUCCAGAAGUGCAGACUCUG